rnacentral:rRNA from 1 species
UACGAAGGGGGCUAGCGUUGCUCGGAAUCACUGGGCGUAAAGCGCACGUAGGCGGGUUGUUAAGUCAGGGGUGAAAUCCUGGAGCUCAACUCCAGAACUGCCUUUGAUACUGGCAAUCUUUGAGUCCGGGAGAGGUGGGUGGAACUGCGAGUGUAGAGGUGAAAUUCGUAGAUAUUCGCAAGAACACCAGUGGCGAAGGCGGCUCACUGGCCCGGUUCUGGACGCUGAUAUACGAAAGCGUGGGGAGCAAACAGG